GGUGUUGUGGCUCAGUGCUAGAGCACUCACCUAGCAUGUGUGAGGCCCUGGGUUCAAUCCUCAGCACCACAU
rnacentral:tRNA from 1 species